rnacentral:rRNA from 1 species
GACGAACGCUGGCGGCGUGCUUAACACAUGCAAGUCGAACGGAAAGGCCCUGCUUUUGUGGGGUGCUCGAGUGGCGAACGGGUGAGUAACACGUGAGUAACCUGCCCUUGACUUUGGGAUAACUUCAGGAAACUGGGGCUAAUACCGGAUAGGAGCUCCUGCUGCAUGUUGGGGGUUGGAAAGUUUCGGCGGUUGGGGAUGGACUCGCGGCUUAUCAGCUUGUUGGUGGGGUAGUGGCUUACCAAGGGUUUGACGGGUAGGCGGCCUGGGAGGGUGGCCGGGCACCAUAGGCCUGCGAUACGGCGCAGACGGCUACGGGAGGCAGCAGGCGGGAGUAUGGCACAAUGGGCGGAAGCCUGAGGCAGAAACGCCGCGUGCGGGAUGCUGGCCUUCGGGUUGUGAACCGCUGUCGCCUGUGACGAAGCGGGAGUGACGGUAAUGGGUAAAGAAGCACCGGCUAACUACGUG